UUAAGUUCAGCGGGUAUCCUCAUCCGAUUCGAGGUCAAGAUAUGGUGCCGGUGGGGGCACGUUUUAGGCGGUUUCAGGUUGGACUCGGUGACAGGUGAUUUACUAGUCUCCGCGGUCGUGGCCAUCUGCCCGCUAGCUUUCUGCGUGUUUAAACGGGGGAAACCUGACGCCGCGGCCCGGUGAAGGGUACGGGUAGGUCG
rnacentral:misc_RNA from 1 species